rnacentral:rRNA from 1 species
AGCUCCAAUAGCGUAUAUUUAAGUUGUUGCAGUUAAAAAGCUCGUAGUUGGAUUUCGGAUGGGUUUCGGCGGUCCGCCUCUGGUGAGUACUGUUGAAGCCUAUCUUUCUGUCGGGGACGGGCUCCUGGUGUUCACUCACUGGGACUCGGAGUCGACGAGGUUACUUUGAGAAAAAUAGAGUGUUCAAAGCAAGCCUACGCUCUGAAUAUGUUAGCAUGGAAUAACACGAUAGGACUCUGGCCUAUCUUGUUGGUCUGUAGGACCGGAGUAAUGAUUAAGAGGGACAGUCGGGGGCAUUCGUAUUUCAUUGUCAGAGGUGAAAUUCUUGGAUUUAUGAAAGACGAACUUCUGCGAAAGCAUUUGCCAAGGAUGUUUUCA